rnacentral:rRNA from 2 species
GACAAACCGGAGGAAGGUGGGGAUGACGUCAAAUCAUCAUGCCCCUUAUGACCUGGGCUACACACGUGCUACAAUGGAUGGUACAAAGGGCUGCAAGACCGCGAGGUCAAGCCAAUCCCAUAAAACCAUUCUCAGUUCGGAUUGUAGGCUGCAACUCGCCUAUAUGAAGCUGGAAUCGCUAGUAAUCGCGGAUCAGCAUGCCGCGGUGAAUACGUUCCCGGGCCUUGUACACACCGCCCGUCACACCACGAGAGUUUGUAACACCCGAAGUCGGUGGAGUAACCGUAAGGAGCUAGCCGCCUAAGGUGGGACAGAUGAUUGGGGUG